UACAGAGGAUGCAAGCGUUAUCCGGAAUGAUUGGGCGUAAAGCGUCUGUAGGUGGCUUUUUAAGUCCGCCGUCAAAUCCCAGGGCUCAACCCAUAGUCUGCAUCGGAAACUGUCGGGCUUGAGUAUGGGAGAGGUGAGUGGAAUUUCCGGUGUAGCGGUGAAAUGCGUAGAUAUCGGAAGGAACACCUGUGGCGAAAGCGGCUCACUGGACCAUUACUGACGCUGAGGCACGAAAGCUAGGGGAGCAAACAGG
rnacentral:rRNA from 1 species